UUGACAUGCCACAAAUCCUCUUGAAAGAGAGGGGUGCCCUCGGGAACGUGGACACAGUUGGUGCAUGGCUGUCGACAGCUCGUGCCGUAAGGUGUUGGGUUAAGUCUCGCAAGGAGCGCAACAGCAGGUACGUUUUCAAAAAUAUAUUUGUGUAACAGGUUUGCUGCUGUAACUUGUUGCUCUAAGCAAGUUACCGACUACUCAA
rfam:Triticum urartu cultivar G1812 contig516456, whole genome shotgun sequence.